rnacentral:rRNA from 1 species
GCUGCCAUGGUUCAUACUCAGUUCUCUUCACCCAUUUGUGUUCUUCGUGCUGACUCUGCUGGCGAGUAUAUCUCUAAGAUGUUGCGUGGUGUUCUUGCUGAGGAAGGCACUCUCUCUCAAUUCUCUUGUCCUGGUGCUCAUGCUCAGAAUGGUGUGGCUGAGCGAAAGCAUCAUCAUCUUCUUGAGACGGCUCGUGCAUUGCUGAUUGCUGCCUCUCUCCCGCCUCAUUUUUGGGCUGAGGCCGUCUCCACCUCCACCUAUCUUAUCAAUCUCCAACCUUCCGCUGCUCUACAGGGUGGUGUUCCUUUCGAGCGUCUUUUUGAUCGUUCUCCCGAUUAUUCGAUGCUUCGCUUGUUUGGUUGUGUUUGCUAUGUUCUUCUUGCCCCUCGCGAACGCACCAAACUGACCGCUCAGUCUGUUGAGUGUGUCUUUUUAGGCUACAGUGAUGAGCAUAAGGGCUAUCGUUGUUGGGAUCCUAUCGGUCGUCGGAUGCGUAUCUCUCGAGACGUGACUGUUGAUGAGUCUCGUCCCUUCUACCCACGCUCAUCUUCCUCGACCUUUUCAGUGGAGGAUAUCUCUUUCCUCACUUUUCCUGACUCACCUAUCACCCCUGUCGAGCCUGUGCCUAUUCAUUCCGCUCCCUCUGCUUCUCCACCUCUAGUCGAUUUGAUGCCACCAUCUUCCAUGGUCUCCUCGUCUAGCAUGUCACCGGAUUCUACACCUUCAUCUCCGGUGACUUCUUCGUCGCCACCCCUCGAUUCUAGCUUGGCGAUUCCUCCUUCUAUUGUUCCAUCUUUUCCUCAGCAUUACACUCAACGUUCACGUCCUGUGGAUGCCUUCGUGGAUGUGUCAUCAUCUUCCUCUCAGCCUACUUAUGGCUUGCGUUCUCGUCCUUGUCCGCCUGUUGAUCGCUUUGGAUUUCCCACCGCUGGUGCUGCUGUUCUUGAGCCGACUUCUUAUCGUCAGGCUGUUGUUCAUCCUGAAUGGAAGUUUGCGAUGGCAGAGGAGAUUGCUGUUCUUGAACGCACUGGUACCUGGGAUCUUGUUUCCCUUCCUCCCGGAGUCCGUCCCAUCACUUGUAAGUGGUUCUACAAGGUUAAGACUCGCUCCGAUGGUUCUCUUGAGCGUCACAAAGCUCGUCUUGUGGCUCGUGGUUUUCAGCAGGAGCAUGGUCGUGAUUAUGACGAGACUUUUGCUCCUGUGGCACAUAUGACCACUGUUCGUACACUUCUUGCCGUUGCCUCUGCACGCCACUGGUCUAUAUCUCAGCUUGAUGUUAAGAAUGCUUUUCUUAAUGGUGAGCUGCGUGAGGAGGUGUACAUGCAGCCACCACCUGGGUAUUCUGUU